rnacentral:rRNA from 1 species
AGUCGAACGAUGAUCAGGAGCUUGCUCCUGUGAUUAGUGGCGAACGGGUGAGUAACACGUGAGUAACCUGCCCCUGACUCUGGGAUAAGCGUUGGAAACGACGUCUAAUACUGGAUAUGAUCACUGGCCGCAUGGUCUGGUGGUGGAAAGAUUUUUUGGUUGGGGAUGGACUCGCGGCCUAUCAGCUUGUUGGUGAGGUAAUGGCUCACCAAGGCGACGACGGGUAGCCGGCCUGAGAGGGUGACCGGCCACACUGGGACUGAGACACGGCCCAGACUCCUACGGGAGGCAGCAGUGGGGAAUAUUGCACAAUGGGCGAAAGCCUGAUGCAGCAACGCCGCGUGAGGGAUGACGGCCUUCGGGUUGUAAACCUCUUUUAGUAGGGAAGAAGCGAAAGUGACGGUACCUGCAGAAAAAGCACCGGCUAACUACGUGCCAGCAGCCGCGGUAAUACGUAGGGUGCAAGCGUUGUCCGGAAUUAUUGGGCGUAAAGAGCUCGUAGGCGG